rnacentral:rRNA from 1 species
GACGAACCGUCCAAACGUUAUUCGGAAUCAUUGGGCGUAAAGCGCGUGUAGGCGGCCCGGUAAGUCCGCUGUGAAAGUCCAGGGCUCAACCCUGGGAUGCCGGUGGAUACUGUCGGGCUCGAGUCCGGAAGAGGCGAGUGGAAUUCCUGGUGUAGCGGUGAAAUGCGCAGAUAUCAGGAGGAACACCAAUGGCGAAGGCAGCUCGCUGGGACGUGACUGACGCUGAGACGCGAAAGCGUGGGGAGCAAACAGG